rnacentral:rRNA from 1 species
GACGUAGGAGGCGAGCGUUGUCCGGAAUCAUUGGGCGUAAAGAGCGCGUAGGCGGCUUGGCAAGUCGGGUGUGAAAUCCCGGGGCUCAACCCCGUGACUGCAUUCGAUACUGUCAGGCUAGAGGUAGGUAGGGGAGAUCGGAAUUCCUGGUGUAGCGGUGAAAUGCGCAGAUAUCAGGAGGAAUACCGAUGGCGAAGGCAGGUCUCUGGGCUGACACUGACGCUCAUGCACGAAAGCGUGGGGAGCAAACAGG